rnacentral:rRNA from 1 species
GAUGAACGCUGGCGGCGUGCUUCAUACAUGCAAGUCGAACGAGGUCCAUGGGAGCUUGCUCCCGGACGACCUAGUGGCGAACGGGUGCGUAACACGUGAGAAACCUGUCCCCGACAGUGGGAUAACAGUUGGAAACGACUGCUAAUACCGCAUACCGCCGGUGGAUCGCAUGAUCCGCCGAUGAAAGUUCCGGCGGUUGGGGAGGGUCUCGCGGCCUAUCAGCUAGUUGGAGAGGUAACGGCUCACCAAGGCAUCGACGGGUAGCUGGUCUGAGAGGAUGAUCAGCCACACUGGGACUGAGACACGGCCCAG